GACAGAGGAUGCAAGCGUUAUCCGGAAUGAUUGGGCGUAAAGCGUCUGUAGGUGGCUUUUUAAGUCUGCCGUCAAAUCCCAGGGCUUAACCCUGGACAGGCGGUGGAAACUACCAAGCUGGAGUACGGUAGGGGCAGGGGGAAUUUCCGGUGGAGCGGGUGAAAUGCGUAGAGAUCGGAAAGAACACCAACGGCGAAAGCACUCUGCUGGGCCGACACUGACACUGAGAGACGAAAGCUAGGGGAGCGAAUGGG
rnacentral:rRNA from 1 species